UAAUUCCUCGUUCCAAUAAAUGUAUUUCAAAUACAUGGAGUUCUGCUAUACUAUCAAUCCUAUAAUCUCACUUAAAUACUGCAUCAGGAACGAUACGCUCAUUUCCAGGAGCGUGUCGCACGCGAAUGGAAUGUUCGAUACGGAUCUUCCUGUUUUCACAUCUCUUUCAGUGUCAAUCUUAGUGUCGGUAACCUCGACAACCAAGUUCGCCAAAGCAUGUAAAAUAUACGUGCUCUAAGCGAUCAUCGUAAACGUAUCUCAAUAGAUUUACCGCGACACGGAUCCGUACAGAACAAUGCUGUAUUUAUUGCCGACUAAAUAUAAUCCGGAGAGCAUUCGCAGAGACAAACUCGACCAACAGUAUAAAACCGAAUUCUCUUUCUAAUUUUGAGACUUUGACGGUAGCAUCAUGUGAACCGCAACUGUUUCGCGCAUGCGCCGAUUACACAAUUGCUUGAAGAUUGUUAUAUAAACUGGAAAAUAGUUAUAGAAUAUAGCGAAAACUAGUUCAAAAAGUGAGUUCUAGAAUUAUAAUUGUUUAUAAAAAUCUUCGUAUACUCUAUGAAAAGAUUAAUUUUAUCGAUAUAAAAUAUUAUUAAACUUUAAUACAACAAUUAUACCUUUUAUAAGACAAGAGAGAAGAAAUUAGAUAAAACUUACCGUUUUCAUAAUUCUUUUGGCUGAGAGAAAAAUUGUGAUUUACAUCUGGAGGAUCAGCAUUAUCGAACAGGUCAGAAGAUAAUUGUCUUUGCAAACGAAUCGUUUCAUGCGUCAACUCUCGAACCUGAAUGAGUAGCUCCUGAUAAUUUGAUACCGGAAGCGUCAUUGCUAUUGCACUCUGUUGUCUUCACUGCGCCUUUGCGCUCAAAUUUUAAAAGAAUAGCCAUCCGAUUUGAAUUCUGUAACAAAUGAAUAUUGUUUAUUAAUAUAAAAUAUAUCUUGCAAAAUCUUAAUCACGUAAUUACAAA